rnacentral:rRNA from 1 species
UUCCAGCUCCAAUAGCGUAUAUUAAAGUUGUUGCGGUUAAAAAGCUCGUAGUUGAAUUUGUGUCUCGCACUGUCGGUUCACCGCCCGCGGUGCUAACUGGCAUGUUUGCGAGACGUCCUGCCGGUGGAUGUUCAGUAGUGAUUGACUUUCGGGUCCUUUACUAUUUCAUCCGACUUAUAAUCCUGUCGCGGUGCUCUUAAUUGAGUGUCGAGGCGGGCCGGCACAUUUACUUUGAACAAAUUAGAGUGCUCAAAGCAGGCUAAUUAAUGCCUGAAUAAUUAGUGCAUGGAAUAAUGAAACAGGACCUUGGUUCUAUUUUGUUGGUUUUCGGAACCCCAAGGUAAUGAUUAAUAGGGACAGAUGG